rnacentral:rRNA from 1 species
UGGGUGAUCUGCCCUGCACUUUGGGAUAAGCCUGGGAAACUGGGUCUAAUACCGGAUAUACCCUGCUGGUCGCAUGGCCUGGUGGGGGAAAGCUUUUGCGGUGUGGGAUGGGCCCGCGGCCUAUCAGCUUGUUGGUGGGGUGAUGGCCUACCAAGGCGACGACGGGUAGCCGGCCUGAGAGGGUGUCCGGCCACACUGGGACUGAGACACGGCCCAGACUCCUACGGGAGCA